rnacentral:rRNA from 1 species
GACGAACGCUGGCGGCGUGCCUAAUACAUGCAAGUUGAGCGAUGAAGAUUGGUGCUUGCACCAAUUUGAAGAGCAGCGAACGGGUGAGUAACGCGUGGGGAAUCUGCCUUUGAGCGGGGGACAACAUUUGGAAACGAAUGCUAGUACCGCAUAACAACUUUAAACAUAAGUUUUAAGUUUGAAAGAUGCAAUUGCAUCACUCAAAGAUGAUCCCGCGUUGUAUUAGCUAGUUGGUGAGGUAAAGGCUCACCAAGGCGAUGAUACAUAGCCGACCUGAGAGGGUGAUCGGCCACAUUGGGACUGAGACACGGCCCAAACUCCUACGGGAGGCAGCAGUAGGGAAUCUUCGGCCAUGGACGAAAGUCUGACCGAGCAACGCCGCGUGAGUGAAGAAGGUUUUCGGAUCGUAAAACUCUGUUGGUAGAGAAGAACGUUGGUGAGAGUGGAAAGCUCAUCAAGUGACGGUAACUACCCAGAAAGGGACGGCUAACUACGUG